GAGCUUAUAGAAAAGGAAUUGGAGCAAUCUCGGUGCUAAACAAGCAUCUAUAGCAUUUGAGAGCCAAAAGCUAAAAGGAAUUGAAAGGAGAUUCUUGAUCUAUGAUAAAGGAGAUGUCAAUGAUCAUGCUUGCCUUGACCAAGUUUAAACAAUAUCUUGUAUGUGGAAGAUUUGUGGUCAAAACAUAUCACAACUUGAGGCUUCAAUUUGAAAGGGCUUGGAUUUGUUUGAGCAAAGGCUUAUAGAACUUCAUUGCUAAACUGUACAAAGGAUUUGAGCGCUUACCUUGGAGACUUAGCGCUAACCUUUGGAGGUGAUUUAAGGAGCUAUUUCAGACAUUUGAGACAGCCUCAUCCUUGUUUUAGGUCUGCCAUAAAAAUCAGAUUUAUAUUCAGAUUUGUAAUCAGCAUCCAUACCUUGUUGAUUGGCAUUUUAUUCAUCAUAACAUUGAAGGCAACAAUCGGGAUGGGGACGGCAGGAUGAGUUUCCAAGACAGCAAAUUUUUUUGCCAAUUUUGGGGACGGAAGGGGGACGGCAAAGGGGGCGGCUAUAUAAAAUAUAGGAAAAUUUUAAAUGUUCAUAUGAAAAAUAGAUAAAGCAUGUAUAUAUUGUAUAUAUACAUUAUAUUCAUAUGAAAACAUGGAUAAAGCAUGUAUAUGUACAUCAUGAACCUUAACA